CGGCGAGUGAAGCGGCAACAGCUCAAAUUUGAAAUCUGGCCCUAGGCCCGAGUUGUAAUUUGUAGAGGAUGCUUCUGGCGACGUGCCUUCCGAGUUCCCUGGAACGGGACGCCAUAGAGGGUGAGAGCCCCGUCCGGUCGUGCACCUAGCCUCUGUGAAGCUCCUUCGACGAGUCGAGUAGUUUGGGAAUGCUGCUCUAAAUGGGAGGUAUACGUCUUCUAAAGCUAAAUACCGGCCAGAGACCGAUAGCGCACAAGUAGAGUGAUCGAAAGAUGAAAAGCACUUUGAAAAGAGGGUUAAAUAGUACGUGAAAUUGCUGAAAGGGAAGCGCUUAUGACCAGACUUGGGCCGGUUAAUCAUCCAGCGUUCUCGCUGGUGCACUUUGCCGGUCCAGGCCAGCAUCAGUUUGCCUUGGGGGAUAAAGGCUUCGGGAAUGUAGCUCCCUCGGGAGUGUUAUAGCCCGUUGUGUAAUACCCUGGGGCAGACUGAGGUACGCGUUCUGCAAGGAUGCUGGCGUAAUGGUCAUCAGUGACCCGUCUUGAAACACGGACCAAGGAGUCGUCUUCGUAUGCGAGUGUUCGGGUGUCAAACCCCUACGCGUAAUGAAAGUGAACGUAGGAGAGAGCUUCGGCGCAUCUCCGACCGAUCCUGAUGUUCUCGGAUGGAUUUGAGUAAGAGCAUACGGGGCCGGACCCGAAAGAAGGUGAACUAUGCCUGUAUAGGGUGAAGCCAGAGGAAACUCUGGUGGAGGCUCGCAGCGGUUCUGACGUGCAAAUCGAUCGUCAAAUA
rnacentral:rRNA from 1 species